rnacentral:lncRNA from 1 species
UCUUGUGUGCUGGUUGCAGGAGUUCAAGCUCUCCCCUUACUUAGCAUUCCAUCUUACUCUUUAGCUCCAGGGAAAUUUUUUGCUGAACAAGAAAAGCAGUAGGAGUGUUUUGCCUUUACUCCUUUACUAAAUAGCAGGUGUCCAGGUUUUGACUGCCUAUUACAGACUUCGACUGUGAGAAAAUGGCACUCAGAUUCGGCCAACAUCUCAUCAAGCCCUCUGUGGUGUUUUUCAAAACAGAACUGUCCUUUGCCCUGGUGAACAGGAAACCUGUGGUCCCAGGACGUAUCCUUUUUUUUUUUUUUUUAAGAAAGGAAAAAUAGAAAGCCUCUGAAUCUAACAGGCCAAAUGAAUAUAGAAUUGACCUCUGGUUUGUUGAAAAAGGUAAACAAGGAAUCCCUUGCAUUCCCCCCUUGGAGAAACCAGGUAAGAUGCUAUUCAUAUCUAUUCUCAAUCCAUUUGGUGGCACCAGUAAUAUGCUUGAUCAAUGUUGCAGAACUUCUGAAAAGAGUUGCUUAGCAACCGUGGCCUUGGAGGUGAAUCUUUGCUUGACCUUUUCGCUAUGGUAGCUAUGUAAAUAAAUAGGUGCUUCUAAGAUGUACCCAGUGAGGAUCCUGAGCACUUUGUUUUUGCCUAACAGUUGUGAAUUUUAAUAGAAAGAUAGAGAUUGUUGGCACUCUUGUGAUGUGGAUGUAAGGUAUUACAUGAUGAUUAGAGACAGACUUGGUUUCUUUACCUCUGGGAGAUCAUUCGAGCUAUGAAUUUUAAUUAAAUUCAAAUAUAUCAGUACGCUUACACAUUUUUUUUUAAUGUUAGGCUCUGAAAUAGCAUUUUAUCUUGGAAAACAUCCCAUCUUUUAGGUCACUGUCCAAUGCCAUUGAUGGUAGAGUAUUUUAUUUCCCUCUGACCAGAGAUUUCGGUAGAAACUUGAUUCUUUUACACUGGGAUAAGCAGGAUUUGGUAAAAUGCUCUGGAGAGUUAUUUUUAGGUUGUUGAAACUAUUACUCAUGACUGUAGGCAUAUGAUGUUUGUACUGAUUUUUCAGAAUGUUUUUCUCUCCUCCCCUCCGCCUCUCACAACUUAAUUUAUUAUGCAGAGGGCAGCAAGGUAUACAUUUCAUAUUUUGAGAUAGUAAGUGUUUCUUCCCUGAAACAUGGUUUUUCUUUGAAAUAAAUUUCUGAGUAAUUCCGAACCUAGAAAUGUGUCAAGAUUUUUUCCAGAGUAAGUUGUAUUUUUUUUAAUGGGAUUUUCAAAAUGGUUGAAAACUUCUUUCUUGUCAAUGUAAGUAUUCUACAUUAAAAAAAAAAUACAGAUAAUAAAACAUGCACCAAAACAUAAUUGUGAUUUUUAUGAUAGACUUUAUUUUUAACCUAAAUAAAUUCUGUAAAUUUACAAAUUAAUGAUCAUAUCAAUAAACAGGUAAAUAAUAUACAUUUCUAACAAAAACUAUUAGUAAAUAAUACAUACAUAAUAUUUAACUCUUUAUAAAAAUAUUUGAAAUAAGUGUAUAAGACUAGAAAAUUACAAUCUUGUGUUCAUUGAAAUUAAGACAAAUAGAAUGAGAGUUUGUAUAAAACAAUAAUUUUUAUGUUUUAUGCCAAUUUUAUAUUGAGUUUUUCCUAAAAGACCUUGAAGUUCUUAAAAUAACAGAGCAUUUUAUUUUCUCAUUUGAUUUUGCUGCAAGUUUUUGGUUGUCUUUUUCUUUUGUGGAAUUUCUUUUUUUUUUUUUUAAGCAAAAUGUCUGGGAAUUCCAGCGUCAAAAGAAUAUUGCUUUACAUGCCAUCUGUUUUUGGGUGCCAAUUUUAAAUUACUUUUUAUCAAAGAAUUGAGAGAAUUGGGAUAAAAAUGUGAAUUUAGAUAAAUCUUAAUGCCUUGGACAGAAAGAAUAGGAAGAUGUAGAGAUGCACUUUUAAAAAAAAUGGCUAAUAAUGGAAUUUUGCUUUGUGUGUGUAUGUGUGUGUGUGUAUAUAUUUUACCUCAUAUCUUGAUAGAAAUAAAGUUGAUUUUUCAUGAUCUUUUUAACCAGUUCUUAAAAUAUCAUGCAUAAAACCUGGGUCAUUUUUGAGUUUAAAUUCAAGAAAAGUUUAGGUAUCUGCCUCAAGGAAAAUGUUUAUACCGAAUAGUGAGCAGUGAGUGAAUGAUGACUAGUUUUGCUCCAGAUGGUGCUGGAAUUGCCAUUUUGGAACUGAGUCCUGUUCUGUUAACCAUUUCUUUAAGUAAAUGCCAAGAAUAAGAGGAUGAUUGUUUUAAAAUUAACAAACCUCAGUGAGGAAGGUAUUGAGGAAGACCUGGCCUUUCUGGGGGUGAGAACAGUGAGAACUGGAACUUUAUUGUAAUCAGUAUACUCUGGAAAGCUGUUUCACAUUUACAGUGUUUAAAGUGGUUUCAGGGCCAGUAGAUAAUAUAUUCAGGCAAUCCUUUUUAUAUGAUGAUUCUGUACCUUUUUAUUUUACUUUACCUCUAAGCUCUGUUAGGUGACAGUUGUGAGAAUAAUCUUAAUAAGUUACUCAUUUGCUAGCAAAAAGCCAUACUCUUUUGUCCUGUGAUUUGGGAAUUGAACCUUUGGAUCUCUGCCCACUAACAUUUCAUAAAUUAGAUGGUGAGAUGGCUGCAGUGGACUUGAAUCCCCCCAUGCUCUACCCUACCUGCCUUAUAUAAGCCCCUUGUUGUAUGUCUUCCAUAUCAUCUAGCUUUUUGCACACUCUGCUGCUAGACUCCUCCCGUCCAGACUGCACCUCACUCUAAACCAUAACUCUGAUCCUAUGAGUCUUCUAUUCCUUUGCAAACAAACCACUGAUGUAUCUCAUGAAUCUUUUUUUUUCUUUUUUCUGAGGAUAAGGUCCAAAUUCAUUAGUAUCUUUUAAAAAGAUUUUCAUUAUCUUAUGUCAGCUUCCCCACUUUUAACCUGCUUUCCCCACGCCCCUCUUUACCCUGCCUCUCUCUUCCCAUCCUUUUCAUUUCAACUAAAAUGCUUUGAUACCUGUCUUGCCCUCUUAG